GGUUGUAUAAAUCAACAAGUUGAAAAGGUUGUAUAAAUCAACAAGGAUGAAAGGAUGAAUUUGUGUGGAUGUUCUUAGAUCUACAUGCGAAAGAAAAUAAAGAUGUUCAUAGAUCUACAAAAAUCAAAUGCGAAAAACAGACUGCGAACAAGAGCAAAGAUGUUCAUAGAUCUACUGAAUCAGAUGCCAAAAAAUAGUGCUGAAAUCAGAUCUGCGAAAAACAUUUUUUUUGUUUAUAGAUUUUUCAAAAAAUCAGAUGACCAAAACAGAUAGACAAAAAUUAAAUGCCCAAAAUAUCUUACUGUAUUAAACAAGCUGUUGUUUCAGAAUUUGUGGCUAAAUGAAAAAAAUAAUCCAUUCAGCAAGAAAAAAUAUACAUGGAGAUCGCAAGAAUUAAAGAUGCAGUCGAGGGAGGAGGCCGAGAUCUGGAGGCUAGGGCUGGGCGACGCCGUAGUUUGAAACUCGGACGGCGGCGGCUGGAUACGGGCUGAGCAGAGGGAGGCAGCGGCUCAUUUAUCGUCGUCGAGGAGAGAGGCGACACCGCGUUGAGCGUCGUCUAGAUAUGAGGCCGGAGUUGGUAGUUUAGGGAUCUAAGGGUUUUGGACCGCGGCUUUACCGUGAUUCGGUUGCAGGUUUUUCUCCGGCAGAGGGAGAGAGAAGACAAUAGAGAGUACGCUUGAGCUUCUCGCAGGCGGCGGCGGCGGCGAAAAGUGGAAGAAAGUCGGCAGAGGGAGAGAGAAGACAAGGGAGAGCACGUAUGAGCUUCUCACCGGCAGCGGCGAAAGGUGGAAGAAAGUGGAAGGUUUAGACUGGGAGAAGAAAUGAGCGAGAAGAAGCGGCGCUGAACCCUAAAAUUAGAUGAGCUGAGUAUUUAAGCUGUAUUUUAGGGCUGAAAAGUGUAGAUGGACUGUAUUUAAUUUAUUGGGCUGUAUUAGUAAAUACGGUAAAUCUGAA
rnacentral:lncRNA from 1 species